rnacentral:rRNA from 1 species
GAUGAACGCUGGCGGCGUGCCUAAUACAUGCAAGUCGAGCGAACAGACGAGGAGCUUGCUCCUCUGACGUUAGCGGCGGACGGGUGAGUAACACGUGGAUAACCUACCUAUAAGACUGGGAUAACUUCGGGAAACCGGAGCUAAUACCGGAUAAUAUAUUGAACCGCAUGGUUCAAUAGUGAAAGACGGUUUUGCUGUCACUUAUAGAUGGAUCCGCGCCGCAUUAGCUAGUUGGUAAGGUAACGGCUUACCAAGGCAACGAUGCGUAGCCGACCUGAGAGGGUGAACGGCCACACUGUAACUGAGACACGGUCCAGACUCCUACGGGAGGCAGCGGUAGGGAAUCUUCCGCAAUGGGCGAAAGCCUGACGGAGCAACGCCGCGUGAGUGAUGAAGGUCUUCGGAUCGUAAAACUCUGUUAUUAGGGAAGAACAAAUGUGUAAGUAACUAUGCACGUCUUGACGGUACCUAAUCAGAAAGCCACGGCUAACUACGUG